rnacentral:rRNA from 1 species
CCUACGGGGGGCUGCAGUGGGGAAUAUUGGACAAUGGGGGCAACCCUGAUCCAGCCAUGCCGCGUGUGUGAAGAAGGCCCUCGGGUUGUAAAGAACUUUCAGUGAGGAAGAACGCCUGGUGGUUAAUACCCAUCAGGAAAGACAUCACUCACAGAAGAAGCACCGGCUAACUCCGUGCCAGCAGCCGCGGUAAUACGGAGGGUGCGAGCGUUAAUCGGAAUUACUGGGCGUAAAGCGCGCGUAGGUGGCUUGAUAAGCCGGUUGUGAAAGCCCCGGGCUCAACCUGGGAACGGCAUCCGGAACUGUCAAGCUAGAGUGCAGGAGAGGAAGGUAGAAUUCCCGGUGUAGCGGUGAAAUGCGUAGAGAUCGGGAGGAAUACCAGUGGCGAAGGCGGCCUUCUGGACUGACACUGACACUGAGGUGCGAAAGCGUGGGUAGCAAACAGGAUUAGAUACCCGUGUAGUC